rnacentral:tRNA from 1 species
GGCUCCAUAGUGUAGUGGAUAGCACGUCUGCUUUACAUGCAGAAAGUCCUGGGUUCACGACUUAGGUGGAGCCA